CCUACGGGGGGCUGCAGUGGGGAAUAUUGGACAAUGGGGGCAACCCUGAUCCAGCCAUGCCGCGUGUGUGAAGAAGGCCCUCGGGUUGUAAAGCACUUUCAGUGAGGAAGAACGCCUGGUGGUUAAUACCCAUCAGGAAAGACAUCACUCACAGAAGAAGCACCGGCUAACUCCGUGCCAGCAGCCGCGGUAAUACGGAGGGUGCGAGCGUUAAUCGGAAUUACUGGGCGUAAAGCGCGCGUAGGUGGCUUGAUAAGCCGGUUGUGAAAGCCCCGGGCUCAACCUGGGAACGGCAUCCGGAACUGUCAAGCUAGAGUGCAGGAGAGGAAGGUAGAAUUCCCGGUGUAGCGGUAAAAUGCGUAGAGAUCGGGAGGAAUACCAGUGGCGAAGGCGGCCUUCUGGACUGACACUGACACUGAGGUGCGAAAGCGUGGGUAGCAAACAGGAUUAGAUACCCCUGUAGUC
rnacentral:rRNA from 1 species